CCUUCAGCCGUGCGCCCAGUCACGAGGUGGGGGGUGGGGACUUGGACAGCUCGGGAAGGGCCCAGAGACACUGCCCACCCGCUGGGCACCCUGGGUCCGUGUUUAAGCCUCUCUGAACCUUGGUGUCCUCUGUAAAACUGGCUUAACGACGGCUGGCAGCCUCCACCCACUGGCUUGCUAGCUCUAAGUGGGAUGCAAGUUCAACUCAGACUCAAUGUCAUUUUGUCAUGAGUGGGGCAGAGUGGCACAGGAGACAACUUGAUCCCCUCGACCUAGAUCCUGCUUCCUUCCUCAAGAGACCUUCUCUGACCCUCUCACCCAGGGGCCCUCUCCCACCCUGGACACCUCCGGUAUUCUGUCUGCCGAAGGAAGACACAUGGGGUGUGGGAAGAAAACUAGGCCCUGAAGUCAGACAGAUGUGGUUUAAAUCAUGGUUUCCUUUCUUCAACCAUCCAAUCAUUAAUUCCACAUCUGCAGCAUGCCGGUCACUGCUCUAUGUCUUAAACAUGUAUUCAUCUUCAAGAUCUUGGCUCUCUCGGAUCCUACGUUCAAGUGAGGGAGAGAGUCAACAACAACCAGAACAAAGCAAAACACACAAGAAAACAGUUUUAAGUUGUGAUGUUGGAAAUGAAGAAAGCAGGCAAGGGGCUGAGAUAGGGAACUCCAGAGGGACCUGCUGUACAUGGGGUUGGUUAAAGAUGGCCUCCUUGAAUGAACAACGUUUAACACUGACAUGUACAAUGAGGAAAGAUGGCUAUAUUAUAGGAAGAACAGAGAAGAAUGUUCCAGGCAAGAAGAACGGCAAGCACAAGACCUCUGAGUGGGCAAGAGCUGGGGCAGGAAAGGGAGGAACUGAAGGAAGAGUGGCGUCUCUGGAGGGUCUCCCAAGCUGGGUGGAGGGUAGAGCUGAGCCUUUUAGGCUAUUUUAAGAGACUCAAGAUGUAUGAUAGAGGGCAAAUCAACAAGACGUAUUAAAGGAUUAGAUAAAGGGAGAAGAGGACCUCUCAAGAAGAGAGGCUCAAGUUGCCUGGGGUGGGGCUGCCAGGAUGGCAAAGGCAGGGUGAGGGGUGGAGAUUCUGCUCUGAAGGAGCUCAUCUGGGGAUGUCUGAGAUGUCUGAGUGGAGGUGUCAGUAGGCAAUAGGAUCUGCAAAUCAGAAAGAGCUUGAAGGAGAAGUCCAGGCUGAGGGGGGUAUAGAUUUGGGAACAUGGCAUUAGAAUGGUAUUUCAUGGAACUGCAUGGAAUCACCUGUGACGUGAAGCAAGAGGACCCAAAAGAGCCUAGGGGAGACCCACCUUCAGGAGUUGGGAAAAGGAGGUUCCAGCCGGUGGGGUGGGAGGAAAGCCAAGAGAGUGUUCUUCAGGAACUGAGAGAGGACAGUGUUUCCAGAAGGAGGAGGGGUCAACUGUGUCAAAGGACUAAGAUGAAGUCCAAGAGCAGGGCUGGACCUGGCCAGGUGGGGUCAUUGUGACAUUGACCGAGCAAGUGGGCCAGCACUGGGGAGCAGAGCCAGGCUACGGUGGGUCCGGGAGUGCAUGGGAGUGACAAGAUGGAGCCUAUGUGAAUCAAUCAAGUUCUUUUGAGAAUCUGGCUCUAAAAGAGUGGAGAGAGAUUGGGAGGUAGCCACUGAGGGGAGGGGCUGGAGGCGGGAAGACUCGAGGAGCACAUCUGGAUGCUGGUUGAUUUGCCUAGAGAGAGGAGAGACUGGUGUGGAAACCACAGAGAGGCAGGAGGGAGGGCAGUCCCCCAGGAGCUGGAGGGGCUGGGUCCAGAGCACAGAUAUGGGGGGGCUUCCUCCAUCCAUGCAGGAGAUGCAGAAGAGGGGUGCAGCCGGGCCAGUCUGUGAGUCUGGUGUGGGAAAGAGGAAAGAGCUGAGCUAAGUAGUGGGACCACGUGGAAGUAGAGGUGAGUGCAGGGUGGAAGAGGAGGUGAGCGGGCAAAGAGAAGAAGUGAAGUGGUCACUUGGGAGUGGGCAGUGGACUACUGGAGAGAACAGUGGCAGGGCCUGGCAGUCUUGGGGGGCAGCGCAUGGGCUGGGAUCAUGGAUUUAGAGCAAGAGCAGCCAGCCCUAUUGUGAGAUUAUCUCCAGGAACAGGGACAGCUCUGGGGCAGGCUUGGAGAAGGCAGAUGGGAGGGUUCAUUCAGGGCUGGGCUUUUGCCAGGGGCUGUGACAAAGGCGAGAAAGACAGUUGCUGAGGAAAUUCACAUCGGAGCAAUUAUGAGGAACCACAGACAGAGUCUGGACAAGAAGGGAAGAAGGGCCCGGAGGGAGGCCUGCGAGGGAGGAGGGGGAGCCACUGCGCUGAAAUUCUCAGUGAAGCCAAGGAACAGGGCGAUGGGAGUGCGGCCACUCACCCAGGGCUGGGGAGAUGGGGGAAGUGUUUGGAAUCCAUAUUUGAGGAUGAGAUGGUCCAGGUGUGGCCGCAGGGAGCGGGUGGGAGAGGCCUCCAGAGAGGCGGGGCAUGGUGCGGCAGGGUCCCUCUGAUCCGAUGUGGGUGUCUCUCACGGUGACGAUGACGUAAGGAGGAAGAGGCAAAGACUCUGAUCAGAGAGAAGCACAGCCGAUGAUGCUGCCUCGGGCAGGCUCUAUGAGUGAGGCCAGGCAGCCCAGGUCCCCAGCAGGCUCUGCCACUUUCUGAUGUGUGACACUGGAGGCUUAUUUCUCCUCUCUGCACUUCGGUAUCUUCACUUGUGAAAAUGGGGACGAUAAUUUGUACCUGCCUCUUAAAAUUGCUUUGAAAACUAAAGGAGAUAAUUCAGGCAAAACACCUAAAACAGUGCCAGUAAGUGUCAGAUGUUACCCCUUGUAGUAAAUUGCAUUGUGUCCCCCAAAAGACAGGUCCACAUCCAGCACCCUGAACCUGUAAAUGGGACCUUACUUGGGUUAAGGAUCCCAAGGUGAGAACAUCUUGGAUUAUCCGAGUGGGCUUAAAUUCAGUAACAAGUGUUCUUCCAGGGACCAGAAGAGAAGACAUACAGGGGGAGGCCAUGUGAAGCUGAAGGCAGAGACUGGAGUUGUACAGCCACAAGCCAAGGAGCUCCUGGAGCUGCCAGAGCUGGAAGAGGCAGAGAAAGAUUCUCUCCUAGAGCCUUUGGAGGGAGCUUGGCCCUGUCAACAUCUUAAUUUUGGAUUUGUGGUCUCUAUAAUUGGAAACGAAUAAAUUUCUGUUGUUUUAAGCCA